AUAAAAUAUAUAUGACUAUUUUUAUUUUUUUUGAAAAACGAACAAAAAAAAUAAGUUCCUUUCUUGCUGAUUUCACAUAGAUAAACAAAGAAAAUAAAGAAAUCCUUGUUUCUCUCUCUAGAACUACAAGAAACCUGCAAAUUACAUAGAAAAACCCCAUUGCACCACGGUCUUUUUGCUGAUUUUACAGAAAAAAACUCAAAAAAAUGAAAAAGGCCUUGUUUCUCUCUCUAGAGCCUCAAGCUUUGAAACCUGCAAAUUAUAAAGAAAAACCCCAUUGAAAAAUUACAAAGAAGAAGAACAAACAGGAACCUUAAUGAAGAGUAGAACGAACCUUGUUUGCAAGAAUCUUGUUCUUAAGCCGGUGGUUUCUCUUUGAAACCUCGAUGCUCUUACUGCUCAUAAACCUAGUUUUGUAGCCGUUCCUUCCAUAAUCCUGAAAAUACGAGGUAUGAUUGCGCGUCGAUAUUGAAUGAAUAUGCAUCUGCUCUGAGACUCACAACAUGCGAAGAGGAAUUGUGGCACUCCCCUCCCUUCCUCCGACUCACAAAAAUUCAACCCCUUCCACGAAUUUUGUAGCAGUUCUCCCAUUCUUUCAUCCUCUCAUCUACGCCUUCUCUCUCUAUAAAGUAGAAACAGAUGACCCAAACCCACAUACAA
rnacentral:lncRNA from 1 species